rnacentral:rRNA from 1 species
UGCUGACGAGUGGCAAACGGGCGAGUAACACGUGCUUGACCUACCUUAAGGUAAGGAACAACUUUGGAAACAAAGCUAAUUCCUUAUAUGCUCUUAAAUUUUAAAUAAUUAAAGAGAAAAGAUUUAUCGCCUUAAGAGGGGGGUGCGGAUCAACAGUUAGUUGGUGAGGUAAAUGCUCACCAAGACGAUGACGGAUAGCCGGCCUGAGAGGGUGAUCGGCCGCAACGGGACUGAGACACGGCCCGUACUCCUACGGGAGGCAGCAGUGAGGAAUUUUGGACAAUGGAGGAAACUCUGAUCCAGCUAUUCUGCGUGAAGGAUGAAGCUUUUCGGAGUGUAAACUUCUUUUCUGGGGGAAGACGAAUGACGGUACCUCAAGAAUAAGAGGCGGCUAACUAUGUGCCAGCAGCCGCGGUAAUACAUAGGCCUCAAAUGUUACCCGGAGUUACUGGGCGUAAAGGGUCCGGAGCCGGAUAUGUAAGUCUAUCUUCAAAAACUGAAGCUUAACUUCAGGGAGGGGGUAGAUACUGUAUAUCUAGAGAUAGAAAGGGGUAAGUGGAAUAACCGGUGGAGCGGUGGAAUGUGUUGAUAUCGGGAAGA